GAGUUUGAUCCUGGCUCAGGAUGAACGCUGGCGGCGUGCCUAAUACAUGCAAGUCGAGCGAACGGACGAGAAGCUUGCUUCUCUGAUGUUAGCGGCGGACGGGUGAGUAACACGUGGAUAACCUACCUAUAAGACUGGGAUAACUUCGGGAAACCGGAGCUAAUACCGGAUAAUAUUUUGAACCGCAUGGUUCAAAAGUGAAAGACGGUCUUGCUGUCACUUAUAGAUGGAUCCGCGCUGCAUUAGCUAGUUGGUAAGGUAACGGCUUACCAAGGCAACGAUGCAUAGCCGACCUGAGAGGGUGAUCGGCCACACUGGAACUGAGACACGGUCCAGACUCCUACGGGAGGCAGCAGUAGGGAAUCUUCCGCAAUGGGCGAAAGCCUGACGGAGCAACGCCGCGUGAGUGAUGAAGGUCUUCGGAUCGUAAAACUCUGUUAUUAGGGAAGAACAUAUGUGUAAGUAACUGUGCACAUCUUGACGGUACCUAAUCAGAAAGCCACGGCUAACUACGUGCCAGCAGCCGCGGUAAUACGUAGGUGGCAAGCGUUAUCCGGAAUUAUUGGGCGUAAAGCGCGCGUAGGCGGUUUUUUAAGUCUGAUGUGAAAGCCCACGGCUCAACCGUGGAGGGUCAUUGGAAACUGGAAAACUUGAGUGCAGAAGAGGAAAGUGGAAUUCCAUGUGUAGCGGUGAAAUGCGCAGAGAUAUGGAGGAACACCAGUGGCGAAGGCGACUUUCUGGUCUGUAACUGACGCUGAUGUGCGAAAGCGUGGGGAUCAAACAGGAUUAGAUACCCUGGUAGUCCACGCCGUAAACGAUGAGUGCUAAGUGUUAGGGGUUUCCGCCCCUUAGUGCUGCAGCUAACGCAUUAAGCACUCCGCCUGGGGAGUACGACCGCAAGGUUGAAACUCAAAGGAAUUGACGGGGACCCGCACAAGCGGUGGAGCAUGUGGUUUAAUUCGAAGCAACGCGAAGAACCUUACCAAAUCUUGACAUCCUUUGACAACUCUAGAGAUAGAGCCUUCCUCUUCGGGGGACAAAGUGACAGGUGGUGCAUGGUUGUCGUCAGCUCGUGUCGUGAGAUGUUGGGUUAAGUCCCGCAACGAGCGCAACCCUUAAGCUUAGUUGCCAUCAUUAAGUUGGGCACUCUAAGUUGACUGCCGGUGACAAACCGGAGGAAGGUGGGGAUGACGUCAAAUCAUCAUGCCCCUUAUGAUUUGGGCUACACACGUGCUACAAUGGACAAUACAAAGGGCAGCGAAACCGCGAGGUCAAGCAAAUCCCAUAAAGUUGUUCUCAGUUCGGAUUGUAGUCUGCAACUCGACUACAUGAAGCUGGAAUCGCUAGUAAUCGUAGAUCAGCAUGCUACGGUGAAUACGUUCCCGGGUCUUGUACACACCGCCCGUCACACCACGAGAGUUUGUAACACCCGAAGCCGGUGGAGUAACCUUUUAGGAGCUAGCCGUCGAAGGUGGGACAAAUGAUUGGGGUGAAGUCGUAACAAGGUAGCCGUAUCGGAAGGUGCGGCUGGAUCACC
rnacentral:rRNA from 1 species